CCUACGGGAGGCAGCAGUGAGGAAUAUUGGUCAAUGGACGGAAGCCUGAACCAGCCAUGUCGCGUGCAGGAUGACGGCCCUAUGGGUUGUAAACUGCUUUUGUACAAGGGUAACCCUCGUUACGUGUAUUCCUCUGCAAGUACUGUACGAAUAAGGCUCGGCUAAAUCCGUGCCAGCAGCCGCGGUAAUACGGAGGAUCCAAGCGUUAUCCGGAUUUAUUGGGUUUAAAGGGUGCGUUGGCGGAUUGAUAAGUUAGCGGUGAAAUGUCCGGGCUUAACCCGGGACCUGCCUCUAAUACUGGCGAUCUUGAGAGUAAGGGAGGUAGGCGGAAUGUGUGGUGUAGCGGUGAAAUGCUUAGAUAUCACACAGAACACCGAUUGCGAAGGCAGCUUGCCGACCUAUAACUGACGCUGAGGCACGAAAGCGUGGGGAGCGAACAGGAUUAGAUACCCCAGUAGUC
rnacentral:rRNA from 1 species